rnacentral:rRNA from 1 species
UGCUGAUGACGACCGCGCUUACGGGUGAGUAACGCGUACGCAACCUACCCUUAACAGAGGGAUAGCCCCGGGAAACUGGGAUUAAUACCUCAUGGUUUGUGAAGAACACCUGAUUUUCACAAUAAAGCUGAGGCGGUUAAGGAUGGGCGUGCGUCUGAUUAGGUAGUUGGUGAGGUAACGGCUCACCAAGCCGACGAUCAGUAGGGGGCGUGAGAGCGUGAUCCCCCACACGGGUACUGAGACACGGACCCGACUCCUACGGGAGGCAGCAGUAAGGAAUAUUGGUCAAUGGGUGAGAGCCUGAACCAGCCAUCCCGCGUGCAGGAAGACGGCCCUAUGGGUUGUAAACUGCUUUUAUUAGAGAAGAAACGCCUGGAUUUAUUCGGGCCUGACGGUAUCUAAGGAAUAAGCACCGGCUAACUCCGUGCCAGCAGCCGCGGUAAUACGGAGGGUGCAAGCGUUAUCCGGAAUCACUGGGUUUAAAGGGUGCGUAGGCGGUAUAGUAAGUCAGAGGUGAAAGGCAGCAGCUCAACUGUUGAAUUGCCUUUGAUACUGCAAUACUUGAAUCAGGUUGAGGCAGGCGGAAUGCGGCAUGUAGCGGUGAAAUGCAUAGAUAUGCCGUAGAACACCGAUUGCGAAGGCAGCUUGCUGGACCUGCAUUGACGCUGAGGCACGAAAG